UACGGGGGGAGCAAGCGUUGUUCGGAUUUACUGGGCGUAAAGGGCGCGUAGGCGGUCAGCACAAGUCAGUUGUGAAAUCUCCGGGCUUAACUCGGAAAGGUCAACUGAUACUGUGCGACUAGAGUGCAGAAGGGGCAACUGGAAUUCUCGGUGUAGCGGUGAAAUGCGCAGAUAUUAGGAAGAACACCAGUGGCGAAGGCGGCUCACUGGCCCGGUACUGACGCUGAGGUGCGAAAGCGUGGGGAGCAAACAGG
rnacentral:rRNA from 1 species